GGAGGUAUAGUUCAGUGAUAGAGCACAUGCCUAGCAUGCACAACACUCUGCAUUCAAUCCCCAGUACUUCCA
rnacentral:tRNA from 1 species